rnacentral:rRNA from 1 species
GCCUACAGCCACACCACCCUGAAAGCACCUGAUUUCGAAAGCGAUGCCGGGCCUGGUUAGUACCUGGAUGAGAGACCACCUGGGAAUACCAGAUGUCGUAGGCU